UACGCCGGGUGCAAGCUUUACUCGGAAUUACUGGGCGUAAAGCGUGCGUAGGUGGUUUUUUAAGUCCGUUGUGAAAGCCCUGGGCUCAACCUGGGAAUGGCAGUGGAUACUGGAAAGCUAGAGUGCGGUAGAGGGUAGUGGAGUUCCCGGUGUAGCAGUGAAAUGCGUAGAGAUCGGGAGGAACACCAGUGGCGAAGGCGGCUACCUGGACCAGCACUGACACUGAGGCACGAAAGCGUGGGGAGCAAACAGG
rnacentral:rRNA from 1 species